rnacentral:lncRNA from 1 species
UCCCACUUGGGUGUGUGUGUGGGGAGCUUCUAUUCUGCUACAGCUAGGAUUGAAGGAACACAUCCAUGCAGGUGGAAGACCCCUCCCACCGUGGUGGACUGGGAUUUCUUUUAUGUCAAGAGCUAAAGUAGGCAGGACUCCCCCUUCCGGGUGGGAUACAACUCCCACCUGGUGUUGGGGGAGCGUGUAUACUGCCAAAGCCAGGGUAGAGGGGACUCACCUCUCCAUGCGAAAGACCACUCCCACCUGUGUGUAGGGGGGUGCUUGUAUACCGCCUUAGCCAUGGUAGAGAAGACUUGCCACUACAGGCGGGAGAACCUUCCCAUCUUGGUGUCUGGGAGAGCUUGUAUCCUGCCACAGCCAAAGUAGAGGGGACUCAUUGUUCCAGACAGGAGAUCAUUGCCACCUGUGUGUCCAGGGGAGCUUGUAUACCCCAGCAGCCAGUGUAGAGGGGACUCGCACCUCCAGUCAGGAGAACCCAUAACCUAGGAGUCAGGGGGAACUCCUAUACCACUAGAGCAAGGGGAGAGGGAACUUGACCCUCCAGGUGGAAGAUACCUUCCACCUUGUUGUAAGGGAAGUUUAUAUUCUGCCACAAGCAUGGUAAAGGGGACUGACCACUAGAGGCAGGAGACCCCUCCCACCUGGGUGUAGAGGGGAGCUUCUACACCACUACAGGCAUGGUCAAGGGGAUUUGCCUCUCCAGGCCGGAGACCCUCCCCCUCUGCGUGUCAGGGGAAGAUCCUUUACCUCCUUUUCCGCUGCAACCAGGGUUGAGGGGACUCACCCCUUCAUGCGAGAGACCCAUCAAACCUGGGUGUCAGGCAAAGCUAGUAAACUAGUGCAUCCAGGAUAGAGGGGAUUUGCCCCUUCAGGUGGAAGACCCACCCACCUGGGUGUGGUAGGGGGGAGCUCUUAUACUGCUGCAGCCAGG